rnacentral:lncRNA from 1 species
AUCAUAUGUGCCAACGGAGUUGCCCAUGUGUUUGAUCAGAUCCUACUGGGUGGUCCGAUUCAGUCGGACCUUCUAUCAUCUAUUGGCAUACUCGUUGCUCUACUGAUCGUAAAGGGCCUCCUAUACAUCUGCCCGCAUCUAGUGAUCCCUGUAGGACUUUCAAUCCGAUGGUAACUGAAAAUCAGAAUGCUUGAUGGUGGACUAUCUUAGGCUACAUAGUCCAUCUCAAAACUUACGUGUGGCUACU